CCUACGGGAGGCAGCAGUAGGGAAUCUUCCACAAUGGGCGAAAGCCUGAUGGAGCAACGCCGCGUGGGUGAAGAAGGUCUUCGGAUCGUAAAACCCUGUUGUUAGAGAAGAAAGUGCGUGAGAGUAACUGUUCACGUUUCGACGGUAUCUAACCAGAAAGCCACGGCUAACUACGUGCCAGCAGCCGCGGUAAUACGUAGGUGGCAAGCGUUAUCCGGAUUUAUUGGGCGUAAAGGGAACGCAGGCGGUCUAUUAAGUCUGAUGUGAAAGCCUUCGGCUUAACCGGAGUAGUGCAUUGGAGACUGGGAGACUUGAGUGCAGGAGAGGAGAGUGGAACUCCAUGUGUAGCGGUGAAAUGCGUAGAGAUAUGGAGGAACACCAGUGGCGAAAGCGGCUCUCUGGACUGUAACUGACGCUGAGGUGCGAAAGCGUGGGUAGCAAACAGGAGUAGAUACCCCAGUAGUC
rnacentral:rRNA from 1 species